rnacentral:rRNA from 1 species
GGUGACCUGCGGAGGAUCAUUAUUGAAUAAACCUGAUGAGUUGCUGCUGGUUCUCUAGGGAACAUGUGCACACUUGUCGUCUUUAUAUAUCUCCACCUGUGCACCUUUUGUAGACCUGGUCUGGGCCUAUGUUUCUUCAUAUCUCCAAUGUAUUUAUUGAAUGUAAUAAUGGGCCUUAUAUCUCUCUGAGUGCUAGCACUUAGGUUUGAGGAUUGACUUUAUGUCUGUCCUUAGAUUUUGAAAUGUAAUCCGAGGUGAGGCGGGCCUCGUCUUUCGUGGAAAGGGCUGCCGCGGUCAUUACCCAUGCACUCGUGCAAAUUUAACCAGUGUGAACCGAGUUGGAUGGCCUGGCCCAACCUCUGCUUAGACCCCCUUUUUCCAAAUUGUUUUUUCUUGAAUGAACUGGGCCUUAAUGGACCGCUGGAUUUGUACUGAAUCUCUUGGCUCUAGGGAUCUUUAGGAUCUCACAUAAAUGAAAAACGUAACGAAAUGCGAAAAAUUCUGUGAAUUGCAGAAUUUUUGAACUCACCUUAUCUUUGAUGGCAUUUUGCGCACUAUGGUUGUCCGGAUGGCGUGAAUGUUUGAGUGUCGUAAUCUUUUCUUUCUCCUCGGGUUCGCAUUCGGUGCGGGAAGUAGUUGGGGGUGGAGCUGCGGUGAGGCAACUCCUGUUAUGAUUUUCCUUUUGGACCGUGUCAUGCGCCUCUCACUAUUCAUUGGUGUGAUAACUAUCUACGCUAUUUGACGUGAAACAGUUCAGCUUCUAGUAGUCCAUUGACUUGGACAAAUCUUCAUUCAUUAAUGUGACCUCAAAUCAGGUAGGACUACCCGCUGAACUUA